rnacentral:rRNA from 1 species
GACGAACGCUGGCGGCGUGCUUACCACAUGCAAGUCGAGCGGAACGGCGAACGGGUGAGUACCGCGUGCGUAACUGACCCCCUCUCUGGGAUAACCGUUGGAAACGGCUGCUAAUGCCGGAUCUUGGGGGAUGGCUCGCGUCCUAUAAGCUGGUUGGGGGGGUAAGGGCCGACAAAGGAGACGACGGGUAGCCGGCCUUAGAGGGCGACCGGCCACAGUGGGCUGAGAUACGGCCCAAACUCCUACGGGAGGCAGCAGUUGGGAAUAUUGCACAAUGGGGGAAACCCUGAUGCAGCAACGCCGCGUGCGGGAUGACGGCCUUCGGGUUGUAAACCGCUUUCAGCCAUGACGCGGUAGUGGCAGAAGAAGCACCGGCUAACUCCGUGCCAGCAGCCGCGGUAAUAC